rnacentral:rRNA from 1 species
GACGAACGCUGGCGGCGUGCUUAACACAUGCAAGUCGAACGGAAAGGCCUCUUUCGGGGGGUACUCGAGUGGCGAACGGGUGAGUAACACGUGAGUAACCUGCCCUUGACUUUGGGAUAACUUCAGGAAACUGGGGCUAAUACCGGAUAGGAGCUCCUGCUGCAUGGUGGGGGUUGGAAAGUUUCGGCGGUUGGGGAUGGACUCGCGGCUGAUCAGCUUGUUGGUGGGGUAGUGGCUUACCAAGGCUUUGACGGGUAGCCGGCCUGGGAGGGUGACCGGCCACAUUGGGACUGAGAUACGGCCCAGACUCCUACGGGAGGCAGCAGUGGGGAAUAUUGCACAAUGGGUGGAAGCCUGAUGCAGCAACGCCGUGUGCGGGAUGACGGCCUUCGGGUUGUAAACCGCUUUCGCUCAUGACGAAGCUUUGUGUGACGGUAGUGGGUAAAGAAGCACCGGCUAACUACGUG